UUUACCUUAAGCUGUAAGACAAAAGUCUUAAUUUGUCUUCAUUUAUUGUAAUUGCAUAAAAAAGAAAAUAUCCUAUUUCUUUCUCUUUUUUUUUCUUCUGUUUUUCUAUUUUUAGAGACAGGGUCUUUCUCUGUUACUCAGGCUGGAGUGCAGUGAUAUAAUCAUAGCUCACUGCAGCCUUGAAUUCCUAAGCAAGUGGUCUUCCCUCCUCAGUCUCCCAAAGCACUGGGAUUGCAGGCAUGAACCACUGUGCCUGGCCAGAAAAUAUACUGUUUUUCACUUGGGAUUGUUUUAAUAAUAGCAAGUUAUGAAAUUAAAUGAUGGCAUAGGGUAGCUGCUUUAGAAGUGAUGUGGUGUCCCACCACACAGAAACAUACUGGGUCAGUGGUACAUAGGAACAUAAUGAUUUACCAUCCAAGCUAAUAGUUCUGGGUCAAGUACCAUGCACAUAUUGUUCCAAAAUUAUGUGAAACGUAUUUCUUUAAUUCUUUAAGUGGGCUAUUUGAAGUACAUAUAGCUAAAAAGAAAGAAUAACUGAGAAAAUG
rnacentral:lncRNA from 1 species